rnacentral:rRNA from 1 species
CAGCCGCCGCGGGAAUACGUAGGGUGCGAGCGUUAAUCGGAAUUACUGGGCGUAAAGCGUGCGCAGGCGGUUAUAUAAGACAGUUGUGAAAUCCCCGGGCUCAACCUGGGAACUGCAUCUGUGACUGUAUAGCUAGAGUACGGUAGAGGGGGAUGGAAUUCCGCGUGUAGCAGUGAAAUGCGUAGAUAUGCGGAGGAACACCGAUGGCGAAGGCAAUCCCCUGGACCUGUACUGACGCUCAUGCACGAAAGCGUGGGGAGCAGACAGGAUUAGAUACCCCCGUAGUCCCUGUCUCUUAUAC